rnacentral:rRNA from 1 species
UACGAAGGAUGCAAGCGUUAUCCGGAUUCAUUGGGUUUAAAGGGAGCGUAGGUGGCCUUAUAAGUCAGUGGUGAAAUCUCUGGGCUUAACCCAGAAAUUGCCAUUGAUACUGUAGGGCUUGAGUAUAGUUGCCGUUGGCGGAAUAUGACAUGUAGUGGUGAAAUACAUAGAGAUGUCACAGAACACCGAUUGCGAAGGCAGCUGACGAAACUAUAACUGACACUGAGGCUCGAAAGUGCGGGGAUCAAACAGG